rnacentral:rRNA from 1 species
CCUACGGGAGGCAGCAGUGAGGAAUAUUGGUCAAUGGACGAGAGUCUGAACCAGCCAAGUAGCGUGAAGGAUGACUGCCCUAUGGGUUGUAAACUUCUUUUAUAUGGGAAUAAAAUGUUCCACGUGUGGGAUUUUGUAUGUACCAUAUGAAUAAGGAUCGGCUAACUCCGUGCCAGCAGCCGCGGUAAUACGGAGGAUCCGAGCGUUAUCCGGAUUUAUUGGGUUUAAAGGGAGCGUAGGUGGAUUGUUAAGUCAGUUGUGAAAGUUUGCGGCUCAACCGUAAAAUUGCAGUUGAAACUGGCAGUCUUGAGUACAGUAGAGGUGGGCGGAAUUCGUGGUGUAGUGGUGAAAUGCUUAGAUAGCACGAAGAACUCCGAUUGCGAAGGCAGUUCACUGGACUGCAACUGACACUGAGGCUCGAAAGUGUGGGUAUCAAACAGGAUUAGAUACCCUUGUAGUC